CGCUUUUUUUAAUCCUGUUGUCGCGCCCAAGUCGACGAGCUGUUGGAGGCCGAAUGGUUUGUUCUGUUCCCGAACAAUCCGCUCGAUUUGCCCUUCUGCCGACUGAGCAGCCAUGUGGCCUUUGCGCGAUGGCCCUGUGUUGGCAGGUCCUGAGGACACAGCAGGCUAAAAUCCUCUCACCAAAUUCGCGCAAGGUAAAUGAUCUUCACAGCAGUAACAAUAUAUCUGAAAUGUUUAUGUAUGUACGUUCCGCUUUCGUUGCCUAGCUCUACUUGGGUACUUGCCGGCGAUGCAGCUUCCGGCAAUCGCACAGCCGAUUAUUCGUUUUACUAUGCCAAUGCAAG
rnacentral:lncRNA from 1 species